rnacentral:rRNA from 1 species
CGGUCUGGUGGCGAGUGGCGAACGGGUGAGUAAUGUAUCGGAACGUGCCCAGUAGCGGGGGAUAACUACGCGAAAGCGUAGCUAAUACCGCAUACGCCCUACGGGGGAAAGCAGGGGAUCGCAAGACCUUGCACUAUUGGAGCGGCCGAUAUCGGAUUAGCUAGUUGGUGGGGUAACGGCUCACCAAGGCGACGAUCCGUAGCUGGUUUGAGAGGACGACCAGCCACACUGGGACUGAGACACGGCCCAGACUCCUACGGGAGGCAGCAGUGGGGAAUUUUGGACAAUGGGGGAAACCCUGAUCCAGCCAUCCCGCGUGUGCGAUGAAGGCCUUCGGGUUGUAAAGCACUUUUGGCAGGAAAGAAACGUCAUGGGUUAAUACCCCGUGAAACUGACGGUACCUGCAGAAUAAGCACCGGCUAACUACGUGCCAGCAGCCGCGGUAAUACGUAGGGUGCAAGCGUUAAUCGGAAUUACUGGGCGUAAAGCGUGCGCAGGCGGUUCGGAAAGAAAGAUGUGAAAUCCCAGAGCUUAACUUUGGAACUGCAUUUUUAACUACCGGGCUAGAGUGUGUCAGAGGGAGGUGGAAUUCCGCGUGUA